GUACCCGCUGAACUUAAGCAUAUCAAUAAGCGGAGGAAAAGAAACCAACAGGGAUUGCCCUAGUAACGGCGAGUGAAGCGGCAACAGCUCAAAUUUGAAAUCUGGCCCUAGCGGUCCGAGUUGUAAUUUGUAGAGGAUGUUUUGGGCGAGGUGCCUUCCGAGUUCCCUGGAACGGGACGCCGGAGAGGGUGAGAGCCCCGUACGGUUGGACGCCGAGCCCGUGUAUAGCUCCUUCGACGAGUCGAGUAGUUUGGGAAUGCUGCUCUAAAUGGGAGGUAAAUUUCUUCUAAAGCUAAAUACCGGCCAGAGACCGAUAGCGCACAAGUAGAGUGAUCGAAAGAUGAAAAGCACUUUGAAAAGAGGGUUAAAUAGCACGUGAAAUUGUUGAAAGGGAAGCGUUUGCGACCAGACUUUUCCCCGGCGGAUCAUCCGGCGUUCUCGCCGGUGCACUUCGCCGGGGUUAGGCCAGCAUCGGUUUCCUUAGGGGGAUAAAGGCUCGGGGAACGUAGCUCCUCCGGGAGUGUUAUAGCCCCUUGCGUAAUACCCCUCGGGGGACCGAGGAACGCGCUCUGCAAGGAUGCUGGCGUAAUGGUCGUCAACGACCCGUCUUGAAACACGGACCAAGGAGUCGAACAUUUGUGCGAGUGUUGGGGUGUCAAACCCUCACGCGUAAUGAAAGUGAACGGAGGUGAGAGCCCCUCGGGGCGCAUCAUCGACCGAUCCUGAUGUAUUCGGAUGGAUUUGAGUAAGAGCAUAACUGUUCGGACCCGAAAGAUGGUGAACUAUGCGUGGAUAGGGUGAAGCCAGAGGAAACUCUGGUGGAGGCUCGCAGCGGUUCUGACGUGCAAAUCGAUCGUCAAAUCUGCGCAUGGGGGCGAAAGACUUAUCGAACCAUCUAGUAGCUGGUUACCGCCGAAGUUUCCCUCAGGAUAGCAGUGUUGUCUUUAGUUUUAUGAGGUAAAGCGAAUGAUUAGGGACUCGGGGGCGCUAUAUUGCCUUCAUCCAUUCUCAAACUUUAAAUAUGUAAGAAGCCCUUGUUGCUUAGUUGAACGUGGGCAUUCGAAUAUAUCAACACUAGUGGGCCAUUUUUGGUAAGCAGAACUGGCG
rnacentral:rRNA from 1 species